UUUCAUUUCCACACACUGGGAACACACUUCAUUUUUACACACAAUUUAUAAACACACAAGUCUAUAAGAAUGAUUAAAGUCUCUUAAUUGAGCAUAAAGUUAUAAUACAACUUUCGGCAACGGAUCUCUUGGCUCUCGCAUCGAUGAAGAACGCAGCGAAAUGCGAUACGUAAUGUGAAUUGCAGAAUUCAG
rnacentral:rRNA from 1 species